GACUGUCUUUUAAUGUAUUCACCAUUUUUCUUGCCUUUCCUUUUCUUACCCUGCCCACAGACUGCACAGUAACUGGCACUGGAAAGAGAUAAUGGUACUGUAUAGAUGACAGAGCAUAAAGAAAGCUUGGACCAACUGAAAUGCAGGAAGUAAAAAGAGAUGCCGACCAUCUGAACUACAUGGCAAAGCACACAGCAGGAAGGACACGGCAUAGAUCUGUGACAAUGAGGGGCAGGAACAGCUCUGGCGCCUCUGAACAAGCACUGCUUUCGACAUCUCUCUCCUGCAUCCUUCAGUGGCUAAGAUAAAACUGAGCCAAAAAAACCUAGUUGCACUAAGGUGCUUUUAAAUGGACUAGAGACAUUCACAGCUUGUGAAGAAAGACUGAAGUUGUCUUCAAAAUAAGCAAAACCAACAUUUUUCACCAAGGGUAAUUAGAAAAGAAACAAAAUUGCACAGCUUGCUCAGCCCACGCUGCCUGGUCCCGUUGAUGUGCAAUCCCUCUCCCCCCAGGAUG